UAUCGCCAAGUAAUUAACACUCCUGGACCGAUGUGAAAACGUUCGUCCAGGAUUAAUGUUAUAGCCAACCAAUCAGGGGUCAUUAGAGGUGGGAUCAUUAGAGGUGGUACGUCAUCAACAGGGCGACUAGCAUUUCCAAAUAUUCGCCUUAUUCACCCGGAACGUUCUAAAGACGUUGAGGGGUACACUUCAGGGGUGCAUUCGGCAACGCACCAGCUGUCAUGGCGCCUCAGUGUUGUGUGCCCAAAUGUGCGUCCUCAAAGAGAAAAAAUCCUACCGUGGACAGACUUUCCACCGUUUCCCCAAAGAGCAGGCACUUCGCCGUGAAUGGAUAAAUCACGUCAAAAGGGAUCCUGGUCCAUAAUUCAAGAUCAACGCUGAGACCAAGGUUUGCUCUGAGCACUUUGAGAAGCAGUGUUUUGUAAAGACCGCCCGUGGUAUCACAGAGCUUAUAAAGGAUGCUGUGGCAACUUUGUUCGCCUGGACUUCAGAGAGGCCAAAGAGGAGAAUCAUCAUUCGCAGACCGAGUACGGAUUCCAUGGAGGUGGAUGAAAACCAGCCUGAUGUGAGAAGGGAUGCCUUGAGCACAGAUGUACCUCCUCCACAGCCAUACCAUGAUUAUGCUGUUCCACCGCUGACACCAGAGGGACAACUUGAGGCGGCACGCAAGCACAUCAUAGAGCAAGACAAGUUAAUAGCACAACUUAAAGGGACACUGUGUGAGAUUUUUAUUUGUUUAUUUCCAGAAUGCAUGCUGCCCAUUCACUAAUGUUAACUUUUUCAUGAAUACUUACCACCAGCAUCAAAUUCUAAGUAUUCAUUAUGACUAAAAUUGCACUUUUCAUACAUUAAAAGGGGGAUCUUCUCCAUGGUCCGUCAUUUUGAAUUUCCAAAAAUAGCCAUUUUUAGCUGC